rnacentral:rRNA from 1 species
UCUACGGGCGGCAGCAGUGGGGAAUAUUGCGCAAUGGGCGAAAGCCUGACGCAGCGACGCCGCGUGAGGGAUGAAGGUCUUCGGAUCGUAAACCUCUGUCAGUAGGGAAGAACGGUCACUGUGCUAAUCAGCAGUGAAUUGACGGUACCUGCAAAGGAAGCACCGGCUAACUCCGUGCCAGCAGCCGCGGUAAUACGGAGGGUGCGCGCGUUAAUCGGAAGUACUGGGCGUAAAGCGCGCGUAGGCGGUAUGUCAAGUCAAGGGUGAAAUCCCCGGGCUCAACGUGGGAACUGCCUUUGAAGCUGGCAAACUUGAGUGUGUGAGAGGAUAGUGGAAUUCCAGGUGUAGGAGUGAAAUCCGUAGAUAUCUGGAGGAACAGCAGUGGCGAAGGCGACUAUCUGGCACAUAACUGACGCUGAGGAGCGAAAGCGUGGGUAGCAAACAGGAUUAGAUACCCCGGUAGUC